UGGUGCUAUGGUCAGGGGUAGA
rnacentral:miRNA from 1 species